UUGAUCCUGGCUCAGGACGAACGCUGGCGGCGUGCCUAAUACAUGCAAGUCGAACGCUUUUUCUUUCACCGGAGCUUGCUCCACCGAAAGAAAAAGAGUGGCGAACGGGUGAGUAACACGUGGGUAACCUGCCCAUCAGAAGGGGAUAACACUUGGAAACAGGUGCUAAUACCGUAUAACACUAUUUUCCGCAUGGAAGAAAGUUGAAAGGCGCUUUUGCGUCACUGAUGGAUGGACCCGCGGUGCAUUAGCUAGUUGGUGAGGUAACGGCUCACCAAGGCAACGAUGCAUAGCCGACCUGAGAGGGUGAUCGGCCACACUGGGACUGAGACACGGCCCAGACUCCUACGGGAGGCAGCAGUAGGGAAUCUUCGGCAAUGGACGAAAGUCUGACCGAGCAACGCCGCGUGAGUGAAGAAGGUUUUCGGAUCGUAAAACUCUGUUGUUAGAGAAGAACAAGGAUGAGAGUAAAAUGUUCAUCCCUUGACGGUAUCUAACCAGAAAGCCACGGCUAACUACGUGCCAGCAGCCGCGGUAAUACGUAGGUGGCAAGCGUUGUCCGGAUUUAUUGGGCGUAAAGCGAGCGCAGGCGGUUUCUUAAGUCUGAUGUGAAAGCCCCCGGCUCAACCGGGGAGGGUCAUUGGAAACUGGGAGACUUGAGUGCAGAAGAGGAGAGUGGAAUUCCAUGUGUAGCGGUGAAAUGCGUAGAUAUAUGGAGGAACACCAGUGGCGAAGGCGGCUCUCUGGUCUGUAACUGACGCUGAGGCUCGAAAGCGUGGGGAGCGAACAGGAUUAGAUACCCUGGUAGUCCACGCCGUAAACGAUGAGUGCUAAGUGUUGGAGGGUUUCCGCCCUUCAGUGCUGCAGC
rnacentral:rRNA from 1 species